GCUUGCACUUUCAAAAGUUAGCGGCGGACGGGGUGGAGGUAAACAACGUAAAGGGAAACCUACCGAUAAAGCGGGGGACAACAUCCGAAACGGGUGCUAAUACCGCAUAGGAAGUUUGUUCGCAUGACAAACUUAGAAAGAUGGCUCUGCUAUCACUUAUCGAUGGCCUUGCGGUGCAUUAACUAGUUGGCGAGGUAACGGCUCACCAAGGUGAUGAUGCAUAGCCCGACCCCUGAGAGGGUAAUCGGCCACAUUGGGACUGAGACACGGCCCAAACUCCUACGGGAGGCAGCAGUAGGGAAUCUUCCGCAAUGGACGCAAGUCUGACGGAGCAACGCCGCGUGAGUGAAGAAGGUUUUCGGAUCGUAAAACUCUGUUGUAAGAGAAGAACAAAUUGUAGAGUAACUGCUACAGUCUUGACGGUAUCUUACCAGAAAGCCACGGCUAACUACGUGCCAGCAGCCGCGGUAAU
rnacentral:rRNA from 1 species